CUUGGUCAUUUAGAGGAAGUAAAAGUCGUAACAAGGUUUCCGUAGGUGAACCUGCGGAAGGAUCAUUAUUGAAAUAAAUCUGAUGAGUUGCUGCUGGCUUGCUUUAGAGCAUGUGCACACUUGUCAUCUUUAUAUCUCCACCUUUGUGCACAUUUUGUAGGCCUGAAUAUCUUUCUGAGUUGUUAGCGACUCAGGUUUGAGGAUUGAUUUUAAAUAAUCCUUCUUUACAUUUGCAGGCCUAUGUUUCUUUAUAUAUACCCCAUUGUAUGUUCUAGAAUGUAAUAAAAUGGGCCUUUGUGCCUAUAAACAUUAAUACAACUUUCAGCAACGGAUCUCUUGGCUCUCGCAUCGAUGAAGAACGCAGCGAAAUGCGAUAAGUAAUGUGAAUUGCAGAAUUCAGUGAAUCAUCGAAUCUUUGAACGCACCUUGCGCUCCUUGGUAUUCCUUGGAGCAUGCCUGUUUGAGUGUCAUUAAUAUAUCAACCUCUUCAAUCUUUGGCUUGUUGAGUGUUGGAUGUGGGUUUGCUGGUUUCUCUCUUGAGGUCAGCUCCCCUGAAAUGCAUUAGCUGAACAAUUUGUGGACCUUGUUCAUUGGUGUGAUAAUUAUCUACGCUACUGACAACAAAGCAAGCUCAGCUUCUAACAGUCCAUUGACUUGGACAAUAUUUAUAUCAAAUGUGACCUCAAAUCAGGUAGGACUACCCGCUGAACUUAAGCAUAUCAAUAAGCGGAGGAAAAGAAACUAACAGGGAUUGCCUCAGUAACGGCGAGUGAAGCGGCAACAGCUCAAAUUUGAAAUCUGGCUCUUUUAGGGUCCGAGUUGUAAUUUGUAGAGGAUGCUUCGGCGUCGGCUCCGGUCUAAGUUCCUUGGAACAGGACGUCAUAGAGGGUGAGAAUCCCGUAUGUGAUCGGUUGCCCUUGCCAUGUGAAGCUCCUUCGACGAGUCGAGUUGUUUGGGAAUGCAGCUCUAAAUGGGAGGUAAAUUUCUUCUAAAGCUAAAUACUGGCCAGAGACCGAUAGCGCACAAGUAGAGUGAUCGAAAGAUGAAAAGCACUUUGGAAAGAGAGUCAAAAAGUACGUGAAAUUGUUGAAAGGGAAGCGCUUGCAACCAGACCUGCCUGCAGUUGCUCAUCCGGGCUUUUGCCCGGUGCACUCUUCUGCUGUCAGGCCAGCAUCAGUUCGGGCGGUCGGAUAAAGGCUUCGGGAAUGUAGCUCCUCUCGAGGAGUGUUAUAGCCCGUUGCGAAAUGCGGCCAGCCUGAACUGAGGUCCGCGCUUCGGCUAGGAUGCUGGCGUAAUGGUUGUAAGCGGCCCGUCUUGAAACACGGACC
rnacentral:rRNA from 1 species